GACUUGUAUGGUCGCCAAUUCAUUUGGGUAGACAAAGUGGCUAAGGAGACUCUAGCCAAUUGGAGCUUCAUAUGAGUUUGACUGAUGGUAAUCGUGAGCUUUGUUAAUGACCGACGGUAAAACCAAGUAAACAUGGCUAAUUAGCAAAUUUAAUGGAUUAGCAAAUGUAAUUUGUGAAGUUGAUUUUUUUUGAAUUUCAAACACUCCCAUAUUUGAAACAGGAGAAAAUUAAAACAGAAAUAAAAAAGAAAAAUAAAAAAUUUGUCAAAUUUGAGAGUUAAAUGAACAGACCUUUAAGACACUUGGAAAAAUUAGAGUUCAUUUUGCAGUUAUGCUUUCAGCUGCGGGAGGUGGGCGUAGGUUAUCUCCGACGCCUAUUUCUGGAAGUGGAUUCAUUGAGCAAGAUUUGGGCGAAAGAGAGACUUGUUGAUCGAGGCAACCUCAUCUUACAACAGCAACAGAAUCUACCAAAUACUAGAGCUAAGGGAUUCCAAAGCGCAGAAUCAGAAUAUUCGCUGGUGACUCGAAAAGAAAAAGCAGAAGAAGAGCGGAACCCUAAGCUUUGCUCCAUUGUCGCCUCUCCUCUCUCUCCUUCCUUUCCCCCCUCUCUCUUUCAAGGCUGGAAACCCUGAAUCUUGGCUGUCGGUGCUGGCUCUCUGUCUCCCCUAGUGUCCUCCGUCUCUCCUCCUAUGUGUCGUUGUUGUUAUGAAUCAGUGGACUCUAACUCCUGUUUGUCCUUUUUGUAUGCUCUAAUCUUGCACUAUGACAAGUUUCUUUGUAAAAUGGAGUAGCGAUAUCGCAUUUUUGGUGUCUGCUUCUAAAGGUGGAGAAUGUAUGACGAGGGUUGUUACCUCAAAUCAAGUGUGGCCUUCGAAAGAAGUUCGGCAUAGCAAGUAAGGAAGGGAUUUGCGCAGGUGACGGCGUUGCAUUUUGUGAUUAGCAUCGAAGCCAGUCAUCGGUGAGUUAGAAGUCUCACAUAUCGGGCACAUAUAGGUCUUCACUCAAAGUUGCAUUCAAGCAUUGGCAGGUUUAGGUCCAGGUAGUAUGACAAAUGAUACGAAUACAUGUUUCAUUAGUUUUCAACUGUAAACUAUAUUACAAUAAGCGGAGGAUUUGUAUUGGCCAAAAGUGAUGUCCCCAAAAAUAAUUUUUUUUUA